AAAAUAUUUUGGCUAUAAAUAAACUUCCCUUUGCCAUGUAGUCAUGGUGGAAUUUUUUUUUAAAAAUGAUGAAUUAUUUACCGUCUUCUUGAAGAUUGUUGUUAAAUAUUGUAUGUGAUUUAUUGAAAUUUUUAUAUUAUUAUUAGGAUUAUAUGUGGGAAAUAUAAGAAAAAAAAAGGUGAGGUUAUUAGGAUUGUAUAUUUGUAUGUGGAUUAUUCGAAUUUUUGUUUGAUUAUUAGGAUUGCAUGGAUAGAUUAUUAGAAAUUUUUUUGUUGUUAAUAUUAUAUGUGAUUGUUGAAAUUUUUAUAUUGUUGUUAGGAUUAAAUACGGUAUAAGGAGCAUUAGCGUAUUAUAUUCGCACUUGUACUUGU
rnacentral:lncRNA from 1 species